rnacentral:lncRNA from 13 species
GUGUAUUUAACCCUCUGUCCCCCCCAUGUCUAUGUGUGGGAUUGUUUACUGUAAGUGCUUGUGCACGUGUUGUUUGGUGGGCGAGGGGUUUUUGUACCCAAUUAUUCUGGUUAUUUUUAUGUCGUAGGUUUUGCUAUUAAACUGCUCCGGCUAUAGUUCUGCUCUCCUGGUGAUUACUCACCCCUUACAGGAAUGGUGCUGAUAGUGGGCCUCUGUAGCCUAUGUUAUAGUUCUGCUCUCCUGGUGAUUACUCACCCCUUACAGGAGUGGUAAUGAUAGUGGGCCUCUGUAGCCUAUGUUAUAGUUCUGCUCUCCUGGUGAUUACACACCCCUUACAGGAGUGGUAAUGAUAAUGGGCCUCUGUAGCCUGUGUGAAUAUUCCAUUAAAAAAAUCUGCCUUUUCCAGCUACAAUGGUCAUUUACAACAUUAACAAUGUCUACACUGUAUUUCUGAUUAAUUUAAUGUUAUUUUAAAUGGACAAAAAAAAAUGUGAUUUUCUCUAACUAGAUAUCUACUAUCUGCUAGUCACAGUGUUUUCUCUAACUAGAUAUCUACUAUCUGCUAGUCACAGUGUUUUCUCUAACUAGAUAUCUACUAUCUGCUAGUCACAGUGUUUUCCUUAAACUGAUUUUUGGGUUUGUAUUUGUGUUUUUCGUUUGUUUCGUUUUACCUCAGCCCUCCACUUCCUCCAAAGACCAAGACUGUGUCUUUCGUUUUAAGCACCACCUCAAAGAGCAUGAAAGAUCCCAAGACAGCCAUGAGUCCUGGGAGCACCUCCCCAAAGUCCCUAAACUCCCCAAAGUCCCUAAACUCCCCCACAAGCUCAUCGCUGAAGAGCCCAUCCAUGUCCCUCUUUACUGCAAGGGUCUUUUCCUCCCCCAAAAAACUAUUCUACUCCCCACUAAGCCCUCCAGAGGUACUCCCCCACGCCAUUACCCACAUCACUGAUGAAGAGCCCCCAGCAGUCCCAACAACUCCACCACCUCCAACAACUCUACCACUACCACCUCCUCCAACAACUCUACCACCACCAACUUCUCCAACAACUCCACCACCACCAACUUCUCCAACAACUCCACCAACGUCUCCAACAACUCUACCACCACCUCCAACUUCUCCAACAACUCUACCACCACCUCCAACAACUCCACCNNNNNNNNNNUUCAAGUUCAGUCUCAGAUACCAGCAGCAGAGAGGAGCCACUGUAGUGAAGGAGGAGAUGUCUAACUGGUCUGCUUGUACUGUGUUCUGCAGUAAGACCCUCCCCAGGGAUAGACUCAAGCUCAUCUCAGGUUUGGGCCAGGACAGACAUAGCAGAGGAGGGGUUCAGCUCUAGACCAGGACAGACAUAGCAGAGGAGGGGUUCAGCACUAGACCAGGACAGACAUAGCAGAGGAGGGGUUCAGCACUAGACCAGGACAGAGCAGAGGAGGGGUUCAGCUCUAGACCAGGACAGACAUAACAGAGGAGGGGUUCAGCUCUAGACCAGGACAGACAUAACAGGAGGGGUUCAGCACUAGACCAGGACANNNNNNNNNNAACAAAGUCUGCUGUUCUCAACCAUUUAAGUUUGUGAUUGUUCAAUCAUAACUCGGGCUCUAUGUGUUGACCAUUAUUGCGUAAUCAAGCAUACCAUCUAGCAUGCCAUUCUUAACCACAUCAGGAAGCGUUCGUCAUAAAACAGAUACAUCCACAUUCAGGUAUGUCCUCAGGACAGGUCAUUGGAAUGUUGAAACGUAGCAGGUGACCCAGGUUGUGAGUGUUCAUCACACCAAUAUCUCUGUUACAUUUCAUGUUUCUUCUAGCACAGACUGGACCAUCCUCGCCUGCUUUCUGCGAUGUCUGUUUUCAGUCAGAAGUCUAAGCCUGUCAGAAGGAGUCAGGAGAUGAGUGCCAGUCAGAACAUUGUUGACAGCAGCAGGAAGAAGACCAGUCUGCUGAAAGACAACAGCUGGAUCGGACGCAGCAUGGAGGAGGAGGAGGAGCUAGUGGAGUAAGUGGGACACACACACACACACACACUGUGUGGAGAGGUUCUGAGCUGUCUCAAAUCUACUGACACUGUCACCAUGGUAAGAAGUUUACCAAUGUCAAACAUCUACAUGAUUGGACAAUAUCAAAUUUGGUAGAAAUCUCUCUCUCGCUAACAUCCACCUCCCUCUGUUUAAUGCUAACCACAGCCUGCAGUCGGAGGUGGGCCAGCCCAUCCCUGCCAGCCCCAGCACCCCAGUCAACCAUGUGACCAAGAGGUACAUUUGCAUUGUGUUUAUUUUAGCAGCGUUCCUGCCUAGAAGGCUAUUAUCCCGGAGUCGCCUCUUCACUGUUGACGUUGAGACUGGUGUUUUGCGGGUACUAUUUAAUGAAGCUGCCAGUUGAGGACUUGUGAGGCGCCUGUUUCUCAAACUAGACACACUAAUGUACUUGUCCUCUUGCUCAGUUGUGCACCGGGGCCUCCCACUCCCAACGCCAGUUUGCGUUGUUCUGUGAAGGGAGUAGUACACAGCAUUGUACGCAAUCUUCAGUUUCUUGGCAAUUUCUCACAUUGAAUAGCCUUCAUUUCUCAGAACAAGAAUAGACUGAUGAGUUUCAGAAGAAAGUUCUUUGUUUCUGGCCAUUUUGAGCCUGUAAUCGAACCCACAAAUGCUGAUGCUCCAGAUACUCAACCAGUUUAAAGAAGGUCAGUUUUAUUGCAUCUUUAAUCAGAACAACAGUUUUCAUCUGUGCUAACAUAAUUGCAAAAGGAUUUUCUAAUGAUCAAUUAGCCUUUUAAAAUUAUAAACUUGGAUGAGCAAACACAACGUGCCCUUGGAACACAGGAGUUGUCACGACUUCCGCUGAUGUCGGGUCCUCUCCUAUGUACGGGCGGCGCUCGGCGUCGGGUCCUCUCCUAUGUACGGGCGGCGCUCGGCGUCGGGUCCUCUCCUAUGUACGGGCGGCGCUCGGCGUCGGGUCCUCUCCUAUGUACGGGCGGCGCUCGGCGUCGGGUCCUCUCCUAUGUACGNNNNNNNNNNGUUUACCAAUGUCAAACAUCUACAUGAUUGGACAAUAUCAAAUUUGGUAGAAAUCUCUCUCUCGCUAACAUCCACCUCCCUCUGUUUAAUGCUAACCACAGCCUGCAGUCGGAGGUGGGCCAGCCCAUCCCUGCCAGCCCCAGCACCCCAGUCAACCAUGUGACCAAGAGGUACAUUUGCAUUGUGUUUAUUUUAGCAGCGUUCCUGCCUAGAAGGCUAUUAUCCCGGAGUCGCCUCUUCACUGUUGACGUUGAGACUGGUGUUUUGCGG